rnacentral:rRNA from 1 species
GAUGAACGCUGGCGGCGUGCCUAAUACAUGCAAGUCGAGCGAAUGGAUUAAGAGCUUGCUCUUAUGAAGUUAGCGGCGGACGGGUGAGUAACACGUGGGUAACCUGCCCAUAAGACUGGGAUAACUCCGGGAAACCGGGGCUAAUACCGGAUAACACUUUGAACCGCAUGGUUCGAAAUUGAAAGGCGGCUUCGGCUGUCACUUAUGGAUGGACCCGCGUCGCAUUAGCUAGUUGGUGAGGUAACGGCUCACCAAGGCAACGAUGCGUAGCCGACCUGAGAGGGUGAUCGGCAACCCUGGGACUGAGACACGGCCCAGGCUCCUACGGGAGGCAGAAGUAGGGAAUCUUCCGCAAUGGACGAAAGUCUGACGGAGCAACGCCGCGUGAGUGAUGAAGGCUUUCGGGUCGUAAAACUCUGUUGUUAGGGAAGAACAAGUGCUAGUUGAAUAAGCUGGCACCUUGACGGUACCUAACCAGAAAGCCACGGCUAACUACGUGCCAGCCGCCGCAGUAA